rnacentral:rRNA from 1 species
UACGUAGGGGGCAAGCGUUGUCCGGAAUUAUUGGGCGUAAAGCGCGUGUAGGCGGUCCGGUAAGUCGGUUGUGAAAGUCCAGGGCUCAACCCUCGAAUGCCGGUGGAUACUGUCGGGCUAGAGUGCGGAAGAGGCGAGUGGAAUUCCUGGUGUAGCGGUGGAAUGCGCAGAUAUCAGGAGGAACACCAAUUGCGAAGGCAGCUCGCUGGGACGUAACUGACGCUGAGACGCGAAAGCGUGGGGAGCAAACAGG